UGGGAAUACAAAAUUUGAGACUGGUCUCUACAAAGACGCAGUUGAUAUUUAUUCUGCUGGCAUAGAUAUGAGUAGAGGUACAACUGUCUUUAACGCUUUAUUGCUUACUAACCGUGCUGCAGCUUAUAUCAAGCUGAACCAGCUUGAUGACGCUUUGAAAGAUGCAAAUGAAUAUAUAUCGCGAUUCCCAGAUUGCUGGAAGGGGUAUGCUAGAAAGGCUUUGGCACUUGACGGGAAAGUCAGUGCUGAAAUAGCUGCAGCACUAGCUUAUUAUUAUUUUUCCCUAAAAGAUGAUAGAUGUAUUUUUUCAGAAUAUAAUCCAUUCAACGGAGCGUUUCCAGGUUUAAGGGACCGUAUUUUCAUUUGUCAUACUGUAGAUCAGUUAAAGGUAGCAUUGGUAUCGCCCAUUGCACAAGACUGUCUGCGGGUUAUAAUUUUGGGAUCAAAAGAGUAUUUAGUGCCUUUCGUCUCCAUACGUGCGACGAACUGCAUCAUAGUUGGUGCAAAAUCAGAUGCUUCUGUCACUUUAAACCUCGAAGGUAACGCAUUGUUUCACUUGUCUGAAAAAUGUAUGCUUGCAAAUCUUUCUUUUGCUAUUGACAAAGGUCAAAUCAUAGGUUUGCGUGGCUCUUUGGUUAAGAUCCUUAACUGUAAUUUUAUUUCCAAUAGUGAUGAAUUGCCAGCUGUUGGAUCUGCCGGCGUGUUUAACGCAGAGCGAUGUAACUUUACUAACUGCAAAGCCGGUGGGCUGCUGUGUGGGGGGCCUGGUAAUAUGGUUGUUGAUGACUGCACAUUUUCAGAUAAUGUGAAAUUUGGCUUAGAAGUGCGCGAAAAUGGAAUACUGACAGUGAGAAAUAGUCGUAUGUAUAACAACGGUCUGGAUGGCUUGGCAAUAGGACCGAGGGUGGGAAAAUGUGACGUAUUUAAUUGUCAAAUUUAUAACAAUGCACGCGAAGGAAUUGCCGCCGUUGACGAUUCCAAGUGCGUUACUCUCGUGAGAAAUUGUGUUUUUGAUAACUACGGGAGUGGUAUAUUUGUGAGAAAUUCGGAAGUUGAUUUGAGAGAGAAUAAGUUUUGCGAUAACGAAGCUUGGGGUAUUUGGUUGGACAGUUAUUAUCGGUGGAAUGUAUCGAUGAAUGAAACUUUUUGUAACAAACUUGGAGGAGUUCGUGUUGGAGGAAAACGGCGCAUCGGAAAAGGAUUACCUCCCUCAGUUGUUGAAUUGAAUACGUCCCAUGAUAAUUUUGGCCCUGGAUAUGUUGACAGCGUUUACUCUAUCGAUGAGUGUAUCCUUUUUCCCAAAACAAGCAGUGAUUGUAAAUCUGCAAAAUACGACCUAAAUGUUGAGUACAAUAACGAAAAGAGGAUUACUGCUAACCAAUCGAGACUGUGCUUAUGUUAUUGUUCUGCGUGCUUUCGAAAGUUUGAAGAUUUGAAACCGUGUGAAAAAUGCUUUACUGCUGGGUAUUGCAACCUAAUUUGCAAAAAUAGGCACCGGUCAAAACACACGAAAUUAUGCAAGGUUCUACGCGACAAGUCCAGCUUUUUACUCCCUUCCAUGACCAAUCACAAUACUGACGACAGCGUGGCUCUGAAGUCUUAUAUUCACGCGAAAGGUGUUGAUGGUGUUGGACCAGAAUACAGUCCUCCUCCACCAAGAGAUGGCAAAAGAUUCAUUGUUAAAGUGCAAACGGAUUUCGAUCGUAGCAUACCUAUGAUUGGGGGAACACCGUACACGCUUAUCAUUUACGACCGAAGUCUUGAUGUUCUCCAAACCAUUCAAGCUGAAUUUAUUCACCGUCUUGUGAAAGAUUUUGGUGUCCUUUGUGAAAGGAAAUUUCAGGAGAAGAAGCUCUUCUUUAACUGCGCAUUUGACAAGACAGGAGAGCUACGAUUGUUCAUCAAUGAUUUCGCUGACUUUGAGAAAUGGUAAACUUCCAUGUACCAUUGAUGAAUCUAAACACUCGAGAAAAAUGAAUGUGAAAGCUCAUCGGAUCAGUCGCUUUCACACUUGUAGUGAUAGUCACCCGAUAUCACUAAGCGGAUAUUAUGCUGUUUUGGCUGAAAGACAUUAAUAACUUUUGGAACUUCUACAAACAUUAUUUUUAGUCAUAUUAUUUUAAACCUUUUAGGAAGUAGACUCGCCUAGAUUUAAUCUUUACGCCGCAAAAACUAUUAACAUAAAAUUUCCUCUUGGCAGCCAACACUUGUACAUAUUUAUAUCUUGUUAUCACUUCUAGCCUAAUUGUAUUAACGCGCCUUAAUUAUCUUGACACUAAUCUUAAUUGCUUUUCCGCCUCGCCUCUUCUAACUCGCCUAUAAAAUAACUUGUAAAUAUUCUUACUAGGACAGUCUUACUUAACUUUGCGCUCUAGCGAGUAAUCGUGCUCAACUCAUUACUAGAUAUUAAAUGACGAC